rnacentral:tRNA from 1 species
GCGCCGGUGUCGGAACUGGCAGACGAGCAGGAUUUAGGUUCCUGUGUCCUAUGGCGUGCGGGUUCAAGUCCCGCCCGGCGCA